rnacentral:rRNA from 1 species
UACGUAGGGUGCGAGCGUUGUCCGGAAUUAUUGGGCGUAAAGGGCUCGUAGGCGGUUUGUCGCGUCGGGAGUGAAAACACUGGGCUUAACCGAGUGCUUGCUUUCGAUACGGGCAGACUAGAGGUAUUCAGGGGAGAACGGAAUUCCUGGUGUAGCGGUGAAAUGCGCAGAUAUCAGGAGGAACACCGGUGGCGAAGGCGGUUCUCUGGGAAUAUCCUGACGCUGAGGAGCGAAAGUGUGGGGAGCGAACAGG